UUCCUUGCUAGAGGUGGCUAAGAGUGGAUGGUGCUCCAGGCUGGCUGCUGGGACUCCACAAGGACAAGGCCCUGGCCCUGAGACAGACUCUGUAUGACUUGGCCGGAGGGUUGAGUCAUCAAAGACCCACCAUCAAGAGAGAGAAUGCAGGCCCAUGCACUUGGCCAGGAGGCACUUGCAAGAGGCUCUUCAGUGUCCAGUGGCGGCAUAAAGGUGGACUUAAGCCUCUUUUGUGACGACUUGAUCUUUGAGCUGCUCUAAAUUGCACCAUUCCAGCAGCCCAAGGAUCAAUGGAGCAAAAAGGAUGGUCUGGUCAAGUUCCUCAUUCCUCAACCAUGUCCUGCAACAAGGGGGCUAGGAUAGAGCAUAGCACUGAACUGACUCUACUGGUUCUAUGCCACUGGAAGAUUCUUCUAGACAUGGAGAACCUACAUCUGGCCAUUUAAAUAAUUUCAGAAGCACAAAGAAGGCUUGAAGUUAACAGGGCUGAUGAACUAGACUUAUUCUUAAGCACGGCUUCCUGAAACUACUAAGAAAGUAUCUAAUAGAAGCAACACCAUAGUGCUUUCCACUGAAUUUCCACAACCCCAAGAAACAGAAUUGAGAAGCCACAUUUGAGAUAUAAAGUUUUAUUUUUGUAAGUGAAUUACAGUUUUAAUAAGCUGCCCUCUGCCUGUGUCUUUCCGACUAGAAUAGUGUCUUAGAUUGUAGGCAGUAGAUCUAUACCUAUGUUAAAAGAAUGUUAUUAAGUAUUCAAAGUCAAUACCAGAAAUAAGGUUGCCUUGGCAACAACCUCCUAGUGCAUAUGCAUGAUUUAUAUUUUUUUCCCCCAGUACCUUUGCCUCAUUCAAUGUACAGGGUGCUCAUUCAAAGCCUGAUCCAAACCUCUUGGAAGCCAGUGGAAAGACAUCCACUGUUUACUAUGUCAUAGGAUCAGGCCUUAAAUGAGGUAGCUGUUCAACAUUUAUUUUUAUCCUCAUUAUUCAAUGUGUGCCCCCCCUUGCCUUAUUCACCACACAACAAAUGUAAAAUUAUUGAUUUCCUCAUGGUCUUAAACAUAGCAGUAACUAUCACUUAUUCAUAUAACCCAGUAUUAGCAGAUUCCCUGAAAGAGCACUAUGUUUUGGUUCCCAGAUAAUUACACCCAUAUAUUAGAAGCAGCUUGUCCAAUUUGUCACAAAUUAGGAAAUCUUUCAUCUGCUCACAGAUGAAUAUUUUUUUAAAAAAUAGAGGAAGUAAAGGCAAGUGACCAAUCUAUUCUAUAAAUUAAACCUUGUUACAACCUUUUUCUAUGGAGAUGACUGCCUGUCCAUAAUAAAAAAAGUCAGUUAAAUUGUAUAUUACACUGCUAUAAUGUAUUCUCAAUGAUCUAUUAAAUAUACAAACUGCUCAUGCUUUAUUUUUCCUGGUUAAUUGCACUGUAAGUCAAAUUUGCUCUGUAAAUUAUUUUACUGGUAGCUGCUGACUAUUCUAUUUGAAUCUGGAAGCAUAUGUUCAAUUUAGGACACAUCCUCAUUUCAAGAAGGAAAUGUUUACUUUAGAAAGACUUCUUUGCAAUUAAUCCAAUGAGAGAGCCUUCACAUUUUCAUAGUUAUUGUGCAAAGUUCAUCUCAUGCCAUGUCCUCAUUUAGGAAACUGUAAAUUGAAAAAUAUGGUAAUAAUGAAAUUACAAUGAAGUUUAAUUACUAGUUCUACUGUUGAAUGCACAGUUCUCAGGAAAUCCACUUUUGCCUAUUUGUGUAAAAGGUUUUUGUCUGUCCUCAUGAUGUCAUCACUGUCUCAACACAGAGCAAAUUUAUUCUGCUGCAAACUUGAAACAUAUAAAUGCAAAUGACUCAAACAGAACUGGGGGCUCAA